CUUUCUCCGCCGGCGACCGGCGCACGGGUGAGUAACACGUAUGCAACCUGCCCCUGUCAGGGGGACAACCCGCCGAAAGGCGGGCUAAACCCGCGUACAUGCCACCGGGGCAUCCCGGAGGCAGGAAAGGCUUCGGCCGGACAGGGAUGGGCAUGCGGCGCAUUAGGCAGUAGGCGGGGUAACGGCCCGCCUAACCGACGAUGCGUAGGGGUUCUGAGAGGAAGGUCCCCCACACUGGUACUGAGACACGGACCAGACUCCUACGGGAGGCAGCAG
rnacentral:rRNA from 1 species